rnacentral:lncRNA from 1 species
CCUUUUACUAAAGAAUACCGUGUGCUCGUCGCAAUUCAAGCAGCAUACACCACUUUUGAACGGUGUUUUUUAUUGGAGUCAUACAUACCGACAAUUAGCAAACCAACUCAAACAAGUGCAUCUUACUUGCACCAAAAAUGCAUAUGUAAUCAGUAGCACAAAAUAAAGCAUCAGACAGGCUAGCUAUUCUAAAAUCACAGCACAGAGAACGAGACCAAGCACAAAGAUAACAAGGUUCCGACAAAAUUAUGGAACAUAUGCUACUAUCUAUCUUUCUAAAUCAUUCUUUGGCCUGCACGCAGGGCACACAUUAGAUUACCAGAUACACAAAAUGCUACAUUUGAAAAUAAGCGACAUUGCAGUGUAUGGCACAUCAAUUACAAUUUU